rnacentral:lncRNA from 1 species
GUAAGUUACCCUAUUCUGUUCAAAAGGAGGGGGACUGGGGAACUUGAUUCCCUGUGUUUUGGAACAGCUGUUACGAAACAAGGCCCCUCAGAGUUAAGAUGUCUUAGGGAAUCUAGAGGCAAAGAUGGAUUCCACCUGGUCUAAAAGUCUUUCUCUACCUCCCGGAAAAGCUCUUGCUUCCUCUAUGUAUACUCACUAUCAGCCAGGAUCUUGUGUUAAGUCUACCUUAGUCAAGAUCCUGUACUUGGGCAAUUAUUGGGCCUCACCUAAUAAAGGCAACACCUUGAUAUCCUUCUUCUCCCUAUGGUUACUCUAUGGGAGUAGCCUUUUGUUAGAACACAGAAAGGUUGAGAAACCAUGAUUGUGACCCUAAGAUAUAUCAAGUGGACCAGAGUGAGCAGAAACUCCAGUAGUUAAAUACCUGAAGAGAAACACAAAUUAGAUGAGGGACUUGAAAUUGCCAGUGUUUUGGAAGAAACUGCUGGGGAAAGAAAAGAUGCCCCUUGUGGACAUGGGCCACCAAGCUGACUGGGGUUGUAAUGAAAAAACACCUGUGGAAUCUGGUACAGGAAACACGAUAGAUUGACUAAAACUAAGAGAAAAAUGUUGAAGGAAAGAAGAGAAAAUGUACACCCAAAAUGUGAGUCAGAGGUAAAAAUUGAUACGUGGUAAGCCAGUAGCAUGCUGAAGAAAAAUCAUACUUGUCAAGUGAGCUUCAGGACAAGGAAUCUGGAAAUCCAAACAGGAAUCUGCGGGCUGAAUAAUCACUUGACUUCGGUAAAACUUGUUUGACAUCCUGUAGAAGACCGCUUCCCACUCCCCUUGUCAUGAUAGGAGCCAAUCAACUGGACGCAGAAACAAGGAGCGGUGCUCUCAUUUGAAGUGUAGAAAUCAACGCCGACUGUAAUGCUCUAUAAAGGUGGAUACCCUUCCUUUUUCCCUUGAUAAUUUCUCUCUAUGAAUACAGCCUGAGAAAAGAGCUAUUAUACUCUUUUCUUGUAUAUUUGCUUACUGUGUCCAGACUUAUGUUCUAAAUAUAAAGUAGUAAACCCUAAAUAUUUGUUUCUAAAUAUGAAAAUCUAUGCCUCAACUUAGAGUAGCACUGUAUUAGAGCUGGAAAGAGCCUUAGAGUUAAUCUAUUAAAACCAACUUAUUUUAGAGAUGAAUAAAAUGUCCAGAUAAUUUAAUGCGUUGUGUGGACUAGCAGUCCAGAAGUCCCGAUAGAUAAAACAUACACAGUAGGUGCUUCAAUCCUUGUUGACCAGGGUUAAGAUUUCUCUAAUAGACUCUAAGAAGGCAAAUCCAAGGUUGUCGUGAAUAUAGGAAAAGCAAAGGAAAUAGGUGGACACGCCUUUGGGAUCUUUGAAGAACCUAUGCCCUUCACUUUAUACUAGUUCAAUCGCU